GGUCAUUUGGUUUGUGCCUUCUCUCCCCACAAUUUCCCAAAAGAGCUAUGAAAUGGGCCUUUUCUCCCAGGUGUGGAUUAGCUGUGGGAAGCAAGUGAAGCCUGAAGCCAUUUCUUUAGAAGGAGCUGGAUGUUUCCAGGAGAAACCCUUGGGCCACAGAGAGACCAGAAAGGCUAUAAUUAAAACCUGAACGUCGUUCAUUGACUGGGUAACACAACAGUUUGAAUCCUCUUCCACUAAAAGAAAAUUAAAAUCCUUUCUGGGCUUCUUUGAAUCUUGGAGGCAAUAUAUAUCUAGAGUGACUUAUUUGCCUGGAAUUGUUCAAGUUCAUGUCUGUUGUCUUGAUGUAUUUUAAAUAAUUCUUUCAUUUUAAAGUGCCUGGGCUGGGACAACAAAUUACAUAGUGUCCUACUCUACCAUAUUUGAGUGUGAUUCUCUAUCCAUGUACCAAGAAAUACGUAAAGCUAUCAGGUCUGAGGGGCAUCAAGAGCAAGAGAAUGCUUCCUAGCUAGGUCAGGCACAAUGUGGCUCUCAUCCUCAGGUUUUAUGAAUUACAGAUCUAGUGAUACUCAAUAUGUGUGCAGUAGAAGAAGAUACUCUAUGGAGCCCUGGGCAAACUCAUGGGAGAACUGUAGUUCCAGUCACAGCGUUUGAAAGAGGCUAUACUCUCCUAAGCAAAUAGCUAAUCUCCUCUUGAGAAACAAUCCCUAGAUGUUUAUUGGGUCUGAGUGGGGACUAAACACUUGAUUAUAGGACAUCAACUGAUCAUAUGACUCAAACUGCUCAUUAUGAACUGCCCAUUAUGAUGUCAUCCAAGCAUCACACCUUUGGGCAUUAUGAAGCAGCACUUCAACUUCAGACCCAGUGCUCCUAUGAGAUCAGGCACAAGCAGGUCCUGAAGGCACAGGUCCUGCUUCAUUUGAGGCCUGACAAAGAAAGCAGGCUUCCAGAGGGGACUCAACAGUGGGUCCAGUGAGACAACCACAUGGCCAUUGUGGCUUUUGAUGCUAGUGAAUCAACUGGCAUGAAGUAGAGGUGCUGUGUUUGCUGAGACACAACUGCAGCAAACUGGAUUGUCUAGACACAGAAGAUGAGACAGAGUUGAGGGUGCCAGAAGCUCACUAGGUAUGAACACCUGUGAAAGGAAGCAGGCAGAAGCACGAUUGCAGUGGAGGAGGAGGAAGUUGAAUUGCCAUGCAGGUCAGACAGAGCCUUGCCAACCCAGGGGAACUCAGAGGAAGUCCUGCCUGACAGUUUUCCCCGUGGAGCCGAAACAGUUGUGCUUUCAUCUCUCCACCUUGCUCAGUCACCAGAUGCAGGCCAUGCCCAGAAGCGCAUGUUUUUCUCUGCAGCUUAGACUGAUGUUGAGGAGCCAGGAGCUGGAAGCCACCUGUUGACUACACUCCCUGCAGCUGGUCAGCCCAUCCUUUUCCAGGGGCAUCUCAACGGCAUCUUUGUCAGGUCAGCAAUUUUGUGUACAUGCCACAUUCUCCUAUUCAUGGACUUCUGGGCUUUUCCCACUUUGAAGCAAUUAUGAAUUAUGAAUGUUACAGACACGUUUAUACAAGUUUUACUGUGACGAGCUACUUUUGUUUCUCUUGGUUUUGCAGGCUGUACAAGAAGCAUGGAGCCAGCAUUUGCUUCCAGUGAAGGCUUCAAGCUGCUUCCACUCAUGGCAGAAGGUGAAGAGGAGCCACACAUGCAGAGAUCACAUAUGGAGUCUCCUUCUGCUCUGUCUCCCAGGCUAGAGUGCAGGGCGUGAUCUCAGCUCACUGCAACCUCUGCCUUCCAGGUUCAAGCAAUUCUCCUGCCUCAGCCUCUUGCGUAGAUGAAAUUACAGGUGUUAAUCUUUCAUUUUCAAAAAGAUGACCCUACACCAAUGAGAACUUGUAUUUCUCUUGGCCUUGAAGUAUCUGCCUAAAGUAUGGGCUACUUUAGGAGUAUCCCCAGAAUCAUGUUAUUCAGGGUGGCUGGUAUUAAACAAAAUGCAGUAGAACAGCCACCUUUCAAUAAAUUGUGAUUUACAGAGAACCCCACACAAUGCUUCCGAAUCAAGCCAACAACACUCCACCGUGGGAACUGUGUGGACUAGUACUGCACAGGGGAAGCACAGGCAGUCACUCAUCACUUAGAGUUCAGACCACCUCAGAAAGCCAAAAUGGCACGGAAUCUGGAAGUAAAAGGGAGAAAAAAAAGAAAAGGCCUCCUGCUGCAAGUAGGUAGCUCUUGAGCCUUUAAAGGACAGAGAAAAUAUUUGAGAAGAAUCAAUGUUUACUUUCAGUGUGCUGUGCCUGUUUAAUGGUCAAGCCAGAAGAGUGACAAAGGAAUGAACUAGAACAAAGAGGAAACUAAACUGAGAGAAGGACAGUGGAGUGCAACAGAAACAGUGGCGACAGAAACAGUGGCGACAGAAACAGUGGCGACAGAAACAGUGGCGACAGAAACAGUGGCAACAGCUCUGGAGUUUAGAAGCCCCAGUGAAUGAGAUGAGGGGCAAAAAAGAAAGGUGGUAACAAAGGAAAAACAGUUCUGCAAGUACUGCUGGGUGCGAACUACAGAGCUUCACGGAGCUUCCAGAAAAUGUACACCAGCAUCAUGCUUCCUUAGCAGUUUCAAGGUAAAGACAUUUCUACCUCCUGGGGGCAUGCUGGCAUUAGGGCACUCCUGUGCAGUAAGGCAGGCACGUGAUGAGAGGCAAGCCAAGUUCUCCUACAGGGUCUGAUGGUACUACUGAAUGCAGGUGCUGCUGUGGUGAAAUCAGACAGUAUUAUACACUGGCAUGUUCCAAAACAGCGUAACACUGACAGCCUACAGGAAAAACUCCCCGUCAUCACGGAAAAUGAAAAGCUUACAGGGUCCAUCAGUGGCAAUGGUGACCUGGUGCUUACUAUAGAAGCAAAAUCUUUUUUAUAGGCAAAUGAACUACAUAUGUCUCUUGGAUAUAUAGGGCUAGGAAUAGCUGGUGAAACAUGGCCAGCUACAGAAGAAUUCUGGGGUAUUUUCACUGAAGUGGGCCAUCUCAGUGGUAGUAAACUGGCCCAUUCUUCUCUGCAUUAAACAACAAGGAAGGUACUUUCCUCAGAUGUGAUGGUCGUCCAGGACCUCAGAAUGAAACCUUUGGUAACUACUGGUGAAUUCCACUCUAUUUUACUAUCUGCAAUGUCAGAUCAUCUUUAAAACCAAAUGCUUCCUUGAGGGGAGCAAAGCCCUGCUACUUUCUGCAGCAUUCAUGCCAAGAGGCAGACGGGACUGCACCUGUCUUCCAACUGCCAGUGUAACCACUGACUCAACAUAGUGACCCAAAGAGUUAGUCAGAGAAUGAGAUGGUUUUCUAGAAUAAUUCCACACGAAAACUGGCAUUUACAUCUCUUUUAACAUCAGAGAUGCAGUUUUUAAAUGUUAGUUAUGCCUGGAAUUCUAUUCUAGGUGAAAAGCCAAGGGUGGCUUGAAGGGAUCUUGGUUUACUGGGGUGUGGUGGAGGUGGGGUUUGAAAGUCAGACAUCUCCCAGGCAUGCCAGUGCACAUUUUAGAAGUGAUGACAAGUGCUCAUCCACACACUACUAAUAAAUAGGGCAGGGCAAUGAGAUACAGUAGUUCCAAGCAGACGUGAAGGUACGUAUAGUAAAUAAUUUUGCGUAAAGAAAUUCCAAAAUCUGCAUUGAACUGAUCCAAGCAUAAGGAUGCAACAUCAAAACCAGUGUCUGAGGGAAUCAGUGGGGAGAGCUUCUUUGGCCUUUAAGGUAGAAAUUAAUUUUGCUGACUCUGACAGCCAGUUGUUUCAUUGCUAAGAAAUCAUACCACAUGAGACAGUGGCUGAGCACACAUGCUCUGGAAUCACACUCUCAGACUGGACUUUGGGCAUGUUAUGUAAUCUCCCUGCUGCCUCUUACCUGUUAAGUGGGGGGUGGAUAGUAAUGGCGACUAUCUUAAAGGGUUGCAUGCAGAUCAAAUGAAUGCGAACAUGUAGAGUACUCAGAACAAUGCCCGACACAUACAGGCACUUAGUUAAUUUCAGCUUUGGUUCACAGACUACUAUUUAAUUAGCUGUGUGAUCACAGCAAAUUCCUUAACUCCUCUUUGCAUUCAUUUCCCUCACUUGCAAAAUGGGAAUAACGGAAGUACCUACCUUACAAAGUUAUUGUGAGGAUUUAAUGAGAUAAUGCAUAAAGCAUUUAGCAUGGUAUGUGGCGUAUAGCAAACUGCAACAAAUGUUACCUACAGGUCCACAAUUUCUUAUUCCUAAUUCCAAAAUUUAAAAACCCAUUAAAACCAAGUUAUUUUUAUGACACCAAAAUUUGUUUGCCAGCAAAACUUGAUCUGACCCGAUUCUGGGCUAUUUAUAAAUAGUCUUUAUGCCAUUUAAUAUAAACAUUCAUAUGUUUUGCUAAAGACAUGAUACCAUUUGAAGAAGUACAGGGUAGUGGUGGUGGGGGGUGUAGUACAUGCCAUCUGUGCUGUAAUACCUUUCUAAAAUGUGAAAAUGUUUAAAAUUAGAGACUUAUUUAGAUAGAAAGGUUUUAGACAAAGGAUGGUGGACCUACGUUAUUAUUUACUCUCUCUUCACAAGAAAGAGAACAUACAGCUCUCAAAUAGGCUAAUACAUCCAGAAUUUUUCCAAGAUGGCAACUCAAAAUAUCAUCCCAAAGCCUGAAAUCACCUGUGAUAAUAAGUUAAUCAUGAACAGAGUAGAAUAUCUGAAGUUUCUCUAUGAAAGAAAAGAUUAAGAAAAAAGCCAUAAUUAAAAUUUAAUGAGACAUUUUACAUGUUUCCAAAAAAAGGUUUAAAAUUUUAAAGUUUUGGUACUUAAAAAAAGGGUUAGAAUUUUAAAAAGUUUUGGUACCUUAAAUGGUUAGAUUUGUAUUUGUGAAAGUUUCAGAUUCCAGGCUAUCUCAAUUCUGCAUUGCUAUAGAGAUCAAGGGACUACUACAUACUACCUCUGAGUUUAUCAUUUAUAUUUCCAACUGUUCCACAAAUCCUCUGGGAUUUUGUCCUCAGAUGUAAAAGUAAAGGUUGAAGUAGGUAGGACUUUAGCGUCCCUUCCAGUUUUAGGAUCCUCUACUAGUGCUCUGUAUGUUACCUCUUUAGAAAAGUUCUGCCUGCUCAUUCAUCACAUUAGGAAACUAUUUCUUACUGCCAUUUCCUGCCUCCCCUGAACCACCACAGUAUUUGAGAUGACAUGAUAAGCUGGCAUUAGACACUCCACCAUUCCCUGCUUUUCUCAUAUCAGCUCUGAGGUAACCAUCUGAGCAUAAGAUCACAGGGCCACAGCUGCCUGCUGUGUUGCACCAUCUGUCACUGACUAGGCCCCAAAGGUGUGCUGGAAAAAGGACUGGAGGAGGCCACAGGACAGGGCAGCUGCUUUCCUGCCUUAGCUCUGACUUGCAGGGUGACUUUCUCACCCUGGCUAUUUUAAUAUGUAGUUUAUUUUUGUUUCUAGAAAGUUAUGCUAGCACACAUGUUAAGAGCCAGAUUUAAGGUACUAACAACAUAAAUGGAUAUAAACCCUAAAUAUCAUGAGACUGGUUAAGUCUGCUUUGGAAAGUACCAAUGACACACUGUCAGAUUUGAGAUCUGACAUUCUAUCUCUGUUAAACUUUAAAAGGAAAGCAAUUUCCUUCGCUUUCAAAGCUGUGGGCUCAGAAGCUGUGAGGAAGACUUCCACAUGCCAUGGGAAAGGCUGACUGCUCAAGAAUCCGCCACUGGAGAGAUGAAGACUGGGGCUAGGAUUAGACGCUUUUCAUCUUUUUUGUCUCUCUUGCUGAAGGAGGGAGGUAGUAUUAUCUAACUUUCCACAGAUUUAGACCUGCCACCUUUUGCUUGUAAAGUAUUUCAUGAAUGGGACCUGAGAGUGACACAGGAUCACUAGCCAACAGGGUACACUGAAGACACAAUUACCCUGUACUGUUCCAUUACCAGUGUUGCCUCAUUUCAUCUUCACAACCAUCAUCCAAAAGAAAAGAAAGGAUAAAGCACUUAUCCACAUCCCAAGCUAGUAAGAUGUGGAGCCAGACUGGAACCAGGGACUCUGGAAUGGGGCCGAGGGAGUGGAGCAGAGAAAGACUCACUGCAGUCUAACCAGAUGGCCAAUUAACAGAGCAGUCAAGAAAGAAACCGCAGGUGAAAAGCUUGUCAGCACAUUGUAGCUGAGGCUCCUCCUCAAGGACAGGCAGGAAGCAGCAGAUGCACACACAGUGACAGGUCUGCUAAGGACAGCAGGCCACUCAGGAGCCCAGAAGAGUCACCGACACGGCCAAGGACAAAGGUGGAGAGUCCCUUAAACACACAUGAUUCUAAGAUGUGUGAAGUCAAACAGGUAGUGGGAAAGAAGGAGUCACAAAAAUUAUUUUUAUGGAUAGGGAAUAGACACCAUGGAGUCAUGGAAAGAAGGUUCCAUGCAGUGUACUUCAAUUUGUUCUUUUAUUCUGUGGACAAAUCUGUUCCUAUACUAGCAAACAGCACAUCUUCCAUUCUGGACAUGUCUUUGCACUCUCAUGGAUGUAGGUUUGCAAUAAUGACUCUAAAAGGACUGAGGCAGAGGCCUAACUCCAUUCCCAACUCUCCAUGAAACAAGGGGAAUAUUUGUUAUCUUGAUGCUGUGGUUGAUUACAACACAUUUUGCCAUUCAGUGCUGCCACAACUACCAUAACCACCCAUGGUGCUACAGUUUACAAUUUGGCAAUCAAAUGCCUCAGCAUGUGGCCACCUGAAAAAUGCUUUUAUGGCGUUAUAAUCCCUAUUAGUAAACUAUUAACCCUUAAUUACUCUGUGUACAACAGUCCAGAGGGUCACAGUGGGUGUUCAGUGACUGUCUCUAACACUGUACCUAAAAGUAAUGGAAUAUCAUUGACAUAUGUUUGUCUGUAUGUAUAUGUAUAUAUGUGCAUAUAUAUAUAUAUUUAAAUAUCUGAUAUAUGCAAAGCAUUAUGCUAAGCCCUAUAGGAAAGAUAGAUAGCAACCUAUCUGUUUAUAUGUCUCUGUCUUUGGAGAUGGUAUAAGAGGAACAGAAGGUAGGGGAAGUUGAAGUUCAGAAGCAGAUAUGUGAACAGUAGCACAGUGAGACAGUCUGCAAGGCUAUAAUCUCUCAGCCUCCAGCUCCGUCGGCAGCGCAAAUCAUUUGCAUAGAUAUGUGCUCUAACAGUAACACAUUCAGGGCUCCCUCACUCACUUUCAUAACUGGAUAUGAAAGGAAUGAGGGAAGCAGGGGCAGUAAGCGUUGGCAUUUCAGCAUGUUAUCAGACAAUAACCCACAGAGAGAAGUGAUGUUGCACAAGGAGUGUUAAGUGACAGAAAAGCCAAGUUAUAGUCCCAUCAGCGACUGAGUAGCCAGGGCUUUAAGAAACCUCUUUGGGCCUCAUGUUCUUUACGUAUAAAGGCUUUGGAUCUCUGUGGCCUAAAAAUAUUGCCAUCAGCCUCCUCCAUGAAUUGUCUCAGAUGUGGGCCCUUGCUCCCCUCCUCACUGGUUCUAACACAGUUAGCAUGGCGUGCCACACUGCUUGUUUAUCUGUAUCCACCAGUGGAUUAAAAACUUUAAGGCCAGGAAAGUGAAUCUUCUUUACUACUGUCCAUGAUUGGCCUCUUAACAUACCUACUGGUGCCAGUGAAUAUUCACAUAAACAAAUAAACACAUGUCUGGAUAAAGACUGGAGAAAUGACUUACUUUCCAAUAAUCAACAGUUGAUGACAUAAACUAGAAGAACAAGAUGGGUGAAUUUCUUCCAUAUCUCUAGAUUGACUCUCAAUCCAAACAGAAAAGCACUGAAAAAUGUCAUUCCCCUUAAAACAAUUGGGUUAAGGGAACUCAAGAAUCAUUUUCUCUCAAUUCAACCUUUAGGGUUUAUUUUGCCAAAAUAUAAGCUUUUCCACGUAUAAGGCUGAAGCUCCACAGGCACUAGACUAAAAAAUUAUAUUAGGCAGUAGAUAAGCUAAAGUGAAUGUGAUCAGAAUAAAAACAGCUUUGUAGACAAUGAAGUUGGGCAAAUUUCUGAAAUUUAUGCUUAUAAAUUCCUUUAUGUUGACUAAAAGGAAGUCAUUUGAGCCAAUAUUUCAGCUUCUCUAAGGCCUCUGUCAACAACAGCUUCUGAAGAGAUUCUUUUGCUGAAAUACAUCCAAGGAAGAAUAUAACACCAAAUGGUCUCUUGCUUUAUAAAAUAAAAAUGGCAUCCCACUUGCAUUUGCUUUAGCUUAGCAAUUUCUUUCUGGCAUCUGCUCAACCACCUAUUUCUUACAGAAUAUCCAAAAUGAAAAAUAGUAUCACUCACUCUAGUUCUAUUUUAAAUUUUAAAGCAGAUAAAAGGUCUUCUAGAUACUUAAAAAAAAAAAAAAGAGGCCAUGGUCACUAGUGAACAAUAGCUUGCUACUCUUUUAAGAACUGUCCAAGAAGGUCCACGGUCCACUCCACAGCGACAGGAUUGAGACUCUCGUGGCUGAACACCUGGUCAGGCUCCCUAAGUGCUAUUUCAGUGCAGAGGAGCUGCCUGCCCCUGGCCAAGGUGUAGAAUUGUUCUGGAUUCUGCAGAGUAGGCUAGUAUCAUUCUUUUGAAUAAAAAAGGGAUUAUAAAAAUGUUCUUUCAAUUUGUGUGCACUUUAGAAUCACCUGGGUAUCUCUUUUAAACACCAAAGCCCAGGCUACACCCCAAGCUCAUAAUCACUGAUAGCGGGGCAUAGGCAUCAGUAUGUUUUGAAGAUUUCCAGGUGAUUCCAAAUGUGCCGAUAAAUUUGGGAACUAAUGACUAGUGGUUAAAAGUUUCUCAUACACACUUAUUAAAUAAAUGGAAACCAGGUGAUCUUCCAGGAUGAGCAGAUGGAGGGCAGGUGCCCUUUGGCCUGGCACCAGUGAGAAGAAGCAAGCCAUGGCUGUCAUGGGUCCAGACCUCCUUUCAUAGCCCAUAUCUGUUUGGGUGUGCUGAACUGCUGGACUGAACACUGGCUAGGAAAAAACAGGUUCUCCUGGAGUAACCAAGUACCCAGAGAUUCCUGCUUCCAGAGCAACACAGAUAAAAAGUCAAAAUGUACACAUUACAAAAGAGAGAGAAAGAGAAAAGUAGAUAAACUCUUUAAAUGAAGUCAAGUCUUCAUGGGAUUGACCUGCUCAAUUGUUCAGAGCAGUGCUUCCCAAACUUAGUUGAUAAGAUCUUCUGGGAAGCUUUAAAAACACACACACACACACAACAACAACAACAAAAAAACCUGUAGAACCGAUCUUAGACUUCUCUGUCAGAAUGUCCUAGAAUGAAGCAGGGAAGGAGAUCUGUAUUUCUAAAAACCUCUCCAGAUUAUUAUAAAUCUCAUUAAAAAAAUCUCUAUUAAGAAGUGAUAAAUAGAACACAUAUUUGUUAUGCAUUACUAUAAAAGAGCCCCUGGCAGAGGAUCACAGUGGAGAGCAUUUCCCCCUUCUCAUGCUUCCCUUAGUGCUCACUGUUAGCAGGCCUGACUUUUCACAGACUUUUAUGCAUUACAGGGUCCCACGGCCUUCCCUGAGCAGGCCAAUAGAGGAUUAUACACAUUGGUCCACAACUCGGUUUUUCACAUACAUACUAGACAUUUUCUCACAAGGAUUCAUAUAGUGCCGACCAAUUCUUUUUAGUGACUGUGAAAUAUUCACGAAAUAGGAUGUACCAGAGUUUAUUUGAGCACUUCCUUAUCUAUGGACAUUUGGACUGUUUCCAUUUUUUUUUUUUUUUUACUAUCAAAAUGUGCUACAAUAAUUUUGUACUUAGGUCUGUGCACAUUUAUGAGGUUCUAUGAAAGAGAGAUUACUGGGAGCAGAGAUUCUGGGUAAAGAGGCACAGAGAACUGUGACUCAACAUUUUGCCCACGGCCCUGCACAGAGCAGACCACACUAGUGCCUGCAGUGUACAUAGCACCCCUUUCCACGUCCCUUCACAUCCCGUCACCUCCGCUGGAUUACUGCCUCUUUCAUUUCUGACAAUCCAAUGGGCAAAAUUUAAGAGGAAUAUAAAUAUCUACGCAUGCACUCCCACCCUCAUUAGAGUAUAAAUUCUAAGAGGGCAGGAAUCUUUAUCAUUUUGUUUACAGAUACAUGAGUACCAAAAUAGUGCCUAGCUCUGCUAAGUACUCAACAAAUGUCUGUUGGUAUGUUUAUUUACUGGCCAUUUGUAGUUUUGAUACACACACACAGAGAUAUGGUUUUCUUUUUAUAAACUGAUUUGUAGAAGCUUUUUCAGUACUAAGAAUAUUAGUCCAUUGUCUGUUACAUGUGGCGAAUAAUUUCAACCAGUAUACCACUUGUCUCUGUACAGGUUAACUUUUUGUGUGGUACCUUUUUCCAUGUAGAAGUUCACUAUUAUCAUCACAUGGUUGAAUCUGCCACGUCCCAUUCGUAGCUUCUAGGUUUUGUGCCUGGCUAAGGAAUGUUUCUACCCUCUCUCUGCCAAUAUUAUACAAAAUUAGCCUAUAUUUUCUUCUGUAAGACUCAUAUUUUGUAUGUUUAGUUUUUAAUUUUCAGGAUUACAGAUGGUCAAUUGUAUUAGCACCACUUACUAAAUAAUCCACUCUUUCGUCACCAGUAUGAACAGUGACCUUUUUCCACAGUUAGUUCAUAUACAUAUGUGGAUCUCCAUUUUUUUUUGGUUUUCUUUCCUUCUCUGCUCCCUUCCUUCCUCCCCUCUCUUCCUUCCCCUGUUCUCAAUUCUUGGUUCUCUAUUUUCUCUCACUAAUGUCUUUAG